UACAGAGGUCUCAAGCGUUGUUCGGAUUCAUUGGGCGUAAAGGGUGCGUAGGCGGCGCGGUAAGUCGGGUGUGAAAUCUCGGAGCUUAACUCCGAAACUGCAUUCGAUACUGCCGGGCUUGAGGACUGGAGAGGAGACUGGAAUUUACGGUGUAGCGGUGAAAUGCGUAGAUAUCGUAAGGAAGACCAGUGGCGAAGGCGGGUCUCUGGACAGUUCCUGACGCUGAGGCACGAAGGCCAGGGGAGCAAACGGG
rnacentral:rRNA from 1 species